CCACGCAGAAUUGCAAGGGGUCAGUGCAUUUGGCUGGUAAGAAGAAGGUCGGAGUUUGGAGCCCAGCCAGGGCUGACUGUGGGCAGGAUCCUGGCAUUCCUGGGGGGUUGGACUAGAUGACCCUUGGCAUCCCUUCCAACUCUACCAUGCUAUGAUUCUAUCAAGCAGCUAAAGGAACGGGCGGGGGAGCAAGAUGCAGAACAAGGGGAGGCAACCACACUCCCCAACAGCCCCCUUUGGCCUGACCCAUGGUGCCUCAUCCCAGCAUACUUUGACCUCCCUGGUUUUAGUUUUCUUCAUUCAGCUGCCUGACAACCCAGCAGCCUGGCCCCUGUUUGUCAUCUGAUGUCACAAAGAGCCACUUUGCAAGCAAGCCUUAUAUUACCCUACAAGAGGGAUGCCUGUCAGAUGAUGGUGAGAUGCUUGCCAAGAUACUUGCCCAUCACUGAUCAUGAAUAGGAACUGUGAAGAUAGGAGGAGCAUGAAGCCCUGAGUAGAAAUGUAUUAUUAUUAUUAUUAUUAUUAUUAUUAUUAUUAUUAUGAUUACUAUUAUUAUUACUAUUAGCAUCACCCAUCACUGGUGCAUGAGGCUUGGCUCCCUGGCUUGACUUGUUGACAGCUGUCGAUAGCUUGCCGGGUCCCUGCCUCCCAGCAAUGCAGCUCUGGGGACUUAGCCCCUUUUCAUGCUGCAGGGGCCCCAUAUGGAUCGUGUGUACACAGCUUUGGUUUUAAGGGAAAGGCGUCUGGCGGGCUUCAUCUUGCACGGGUCAGGAGUGCAGUGAGAUUUAUUUUGUAUUAUCUGUUUGCACCAUCACUGCAUGUGACCCUUCAGAGGUUCUUGCCCCAAGGGGCUUACAAUCUUUAAUUUGACACAGGGAGGUUGAGGUCCGGGGUGUAUCCUAAGUCCUCCUGUGAGACAUCAGCCAGGGUUUGUGAGUUUAGACUUUGGGAUUCCCGGACAUUUCCCAUCUGUAACCUCUUCCUCUCUUUUUGCAAUAGGGUAAUGAAGGCGAUUCUAUUAGAAUUCCCAAGUGAAUGUCCAGCAAGGAGGGAGGGGGAAGAGAGAGAGUGGAAUUCUGGUGGAGACGGAAGGUUGGAGGAGGCUUGGAAAGGAAGAGUGAAUGUUGGGGGGAGGCAGUUGAGAGUCAGUUGAGAGCGGUGGGUCCUAGAAGGGGGGGACCUGAAGCUGGGCUGGGCAGUUCUUCAGCAUCAGUAGUCCAGUCAUAGAAUCAAGUGUGCCCAUCAGUGACCAUGAGAAGGAACUCUGAAGGUAGGAGGAGCUCCGAGGCCCAGAGGAGAUGAGUGGCAUAGAAAUACUGUUGUUGUUGUUGUUGUUGUUGUUGUUGUUGUUGUUGUUGUUAUGACGCUGGAAGAUGAGCCCCUCAGGUCGGAAGGCGUCCAACAUGCUACUGAGGAAGAGCGGAGGACAAGGACAAGUAGAUUCAGAGCUGAUGAAGCGGCUGGGCCAAAGCCGAAAGGACGCUCAGUUGCGGAUAUGCCUGGAAGCGAAAGGAAAGUCCAAUGCUGUGAAGAAAAAUAUUGCAUAGGAACCUGGAAUGUAAGAUCCAUGUACAGUGGUAAGCUCGAUGUGGUAAAAAAUGAGAUGGCAAGAAUAAAUAUUGACAUCAGUGAACUAAAAUGGGUGGAAAUAGGUGAAUUCAGUUUGGAUGAUCAUCAUAUCUACUACUGCGGGCAAGACUCCCAUAGAAGAAAUGAAGUGGCCCUCAUAGUCAACAAAAGAGUGGCAAAAGCUGUACUGGGAUGCAAUCUCAAAAAUGAUAGAAUGAUCUCAAUACGAAUCCAAGGCAGACCUUUUAAUAUCACAGUAAUCCAAGUUUAUGCACCAACUACUGGUGCUGAAGAAACUGAAAUUGACCAGUUCUAUGAAGACUUACAACAUCUUCUAGAAAUGACACCAAAGAAGGAUGUUCUUCUCAUUAUAGGGGAUUGGAAUGCUAAAGUAGGGAAUCAAGAGAUAAAAGGAACAACUGGCAAGUUUGGCCAUGGAGAUCAAAACGAAGCAGGGCAAAGGCUAAUAGAGUUCUGUCAAGAGAACAAGCUGGUCAUCACAAACACGCUUUCCUAACAACACAAGAGACGACUCUACACAUGGACAUCACCAGAUGGGCAGCAUCAAAAUCAGAUUGAUUAUAUUCUCUGCAGCCAAAGAUGGAGAAGCUCUAUACAGUCUGCAAAAACAAGACCUGGAGCUGACUGUGGCUCAGAUCAUCAGCUUCUUAUAGCUAAAUUAAAGCUUAAACUGAAGAAAGUAGGAAAAACUACUGGGCCGGUAAGAUACAAUCUAAAUCAAAUCCCUUAUGAAUACACAGUGGAAGUGAGGAGCAGGUUUAAGGAUUUAGAUUUGGUGGACAGAGUGCCUGAAGAACUAUGGAUGGAGGCUCACAACAUUAUACAGGAGGCAGCAACGAAAACCAUCCCAGUGAAAAGGAAAUGCAAGAAAGCAAAAUGGCUGUCCAACGAGGCCUUACAAAUAGCGGGGGAGAGAAGGCAAGCAAAAUGCGAGGGAGAUAGUGAAAGAUACAGGAAAUUGAAUGCAGAUUUCCCAAAAAUAGCAAGGAGACACAAGAAGGCCUUCUUAAACGAGCAAUGCAAAGAAAUAGAGGAAAACAACAGAAUGGGAAGAACCAGAGAUUUGUUCAAGAAAAUUGGAGAUGUGAAAGGAACAUUUCGUACAAAGAUUACCAUCAUAAAGGACAAAAGUGGUAAGGACCUAACAGAAGCAGAAGACAUCAAGAAGAGGUGGCAAGAAUACACAGAGGAAUUAUAGCAGAAAUAUAUGGAUGUCUCGUACACCCCAGGUAGUGUGGUUGCUGACCUUGAGCCAGACAUCUUGGAAAGUGAAGUCAAUAGAACUUUCUUUAUGUAUGCCACAACAGCAGCAAGAAUACUUAUUGCAAAGUAUUGGAAGACACAAGAUCUACCCACUCUGGAAGAAUGGCAGAUGAAGGUGAUGGACUACAUGGAACUGGCGGAAAUGACUGGCAGAAUCCGAGACCAGGGAGAAGAGUCAGUGGAAGAAGAUUGGAAGAAAUUUAAAGACUAUUUACAGAAAUAUUGCAAAAUUAAUGAAUGUUAGAAUGAUGUCAGAAUGAAGUUAAGUGGUUUUAGCAGCAAUGUCAUAAAGGUGUAUGUAAAAAUGGAUUGUUAAUAGGUGAGAAUCUAAAGCUAUAAUAUAUUAAGUUAAAGGACUAAGACAAAAACAAAGAGGGAAAGGAAUUGCUGAAUUAACCAAUUGAACUGGAAUACAAAAAAGGGAGGUGAGAGGAGGUCAGGGAAGCAAGGAAAUGAAAUGUAAGAUACGGAAGGAUUAAUUUGUUUUUAAGUGGUGUUUUUUUUCUGUACUUUGUAUUUUGUAUGUUUUUUCUCUUUUUUAUUUUUUUUCUUGUUUCUUUUCUCUUUAAUUAUGUAAUUUUUUGUUUCUGAAAUUUUAAUAAAUAUCAUUAAAAAAAAAAAAGGAAAGUGAAGUCAAAUGGGCCUUAGAAAGCACUACUAAUAACAAGGCCAGUGGAAGUGAUGGUAUUCCAGCUGAACUAUUUAAAAUUUUAAAAGAUGAUGCUGUUAAGGUGCUACACUCAAUAUGCCAGCAAGUUUGGAAAACUCAGCAGUAGCCAGGGGAUUGGAGAAGAUCAGUCUACAUCCCAAUCCCAAAGAAGGGCAGUGCCAAAGAAUGCUCCAACUACCACACAAUUGCGCUCACUUCACACGCUAGCAAGGUUAUGCUUAAAAUUCUACAAGGCAGGCUUAAGCAGUAUGUGGACCAAGAACUCCCAGAAGUGCAAGCUGGAUUUCGAAGGGGCAGAGGAACCAGAGACCAAAUGGCAAACAUGUGCUGGAUUAUGGAGAAAGCUAGAGAGUUCCAGAAAAACAUCUACUUCUGCUUCAUUGACUACGCAAAAGCAUUUGACUGUGUCAACCACAGAAAACUAUGGCAAGUUCUUAAAGAAAUGGGAGUGCCUGAUACCACAUCUGUCUCCUGAGAAAUCUCUAUGUGGGACAAGAAGCUACAGAUAGAACUGGAUAAGGAACAACUGAUUGGUUCAAAAUUGGGAAAGGAGUACGACAAGGCUGUAUAUUGUCUCCCUGCUUAUUUAACUUAUACAGUGGUACCUCGGGUUACAGACGCUUCAGGUUACUCCACUAACCCAGAAAUAGUACCUCAGGUUAAGAACUUUGCUCCAGGAUGAGAACAGAAAUUGCGUGGCGGCAGCGGGAGGCCCCAUUAGCUAAAGUGGUACCUCAGGUUAAGAACAGUUUCAGGUUAAGAACGGACCUCCAGAACGAAUCAAGUUCUUAACCUGAGUUACCACUGUACAGUAUGCAGAAUUCAUCAUGCAAAAGGCUGGACUGGAUGAAUCCCAAGCCGGAAUUAAGAUUGCCGGAAGAAAUAUCAACAACCUCAGAUAUGCAGAUGACACAACUUUGAUGGCAGAAAGUGAGGAGAAAUUAAAGAACCUCUUAAUGAGGGUAAAAGAGGAGAGUGCAAAAUAUGGUCUGAAGCUCAACAUCAAAAAAACAAGAUCAUGGCCACUGGUCCCAUCACCUCCUGGCAAAUAGAAGGGGAAGAAAUGGAGGCAGUGAGAGAUUUUACUUUCUUGGGUUCCAUGAUCAUUGCAGAUGGUGACAGCAGUCAUGGAAUUAAAAGAUGCCUGCUUCUUGGAAGAAAAGCAAUGACAAACCUAGACAGCAUCUUAAAAAGCAGAGACAUCACCUUGCCGACAAAGGUCCGUAUGGUUAAAGUUAUGGUUUUCCCAGUAGUGAUGUAUGGAAGUGAGAGCUGGGCCAUAAAGAAGGCUGAUCGCCGAAGAAUUGAUGCUUUUGAAUUAUGGUGCUGGAGGAGACUCUGGAGAGUCCCAUGGACUGCAAGAAGAUCAAACCUAUCCACUCUGAAGGAAAUCAGCCCUGAGUGUUCACUGGAAGGACAGAUCCUGAAGCUUAGGCUCCAAUACUUUGGCCACCUCAUGAGAAGAGAAGACUCCCUGGAAAAGAAAUCCUGGGAACUGUCCUUUGUCAAAGAAAGACCUACCAUUCCUGAUAGCUACCAUUCCCAGCACCCUGAACACACUACAGGAUUGCCAGGAUUCUCCAUGACCGUGAAAGUGGAGUGAGAAGCCUUUCACUGUUUGGUGUGGCUGAGAUAGCUGAAUGUGCGUCUGAGUUGACGUUCUGUCCGUAGUGUUUGGUUACUCACAGCCCAUUCUCAUACGAUGUCCUGCUUCCUCCACAGGGCCACGCCUCCAGGGAUGAGGCGCCAUCUCCAGCUCCCAUCCCUUGCUGAUCCCUCGCGCCUCUCCCCUCUUCCCAGUGCUGCUGACAGGGCUUCUCCCUCUUCCUCCGCAGUUCCUCGAAAUCAAUACUGGUGACUCUGAGGAUUUAUACUGGAAGACCCCCAAGUUGGAACAAACUCCUUACCCCCCAGAGAGAUGCCAGCUUGGACAGCCCCCGGAGCUUCAACUACGAAGCCUCCUAGAGCGACCUCACAGACGUGUUACGUGGCAGACCGAGGAGGAGGGAAGCCCAGGCAGGGAAGCCAGAGUGGCCCAAGAGAGCCUUGUAGGGUCAGGCCAGGUUGCAGAGGAUUCUGGAAAGCCUUUCCCCUCUUCCCAGCGCUGCUGACAGGGCUUUUCCCUCUUCCUGCGCAGUUCCCCAAAAUGGAUAUCGGCUCAGACAGCUCCCUGAGCUUAGACCAUGAAGCCUAUAGAGCGACACCUUCUGGGACUCCGGAGACCUCAAGGAGAUAUGUGGUGGACAGAGGAGGAGGGAAGCCCAGGCAGGGAAGACGAAGGACAGCCUUUCUGGGUCAGUCCAUGUUGCAGAGGAUUCUGGGAAGUCUCUCCCUACUUCCCAGUGCUGCUAACAGGGCUUCUCCCUCUUCUUCCACAGUUCCUUGAAAUGCAUAUUGGGUAGGGUUACCAGAGGCCCCCAUUUCCCAGGGACAGUCCCCGGAUUUGCGAAUAAGUCCCUGGACAAAUUCCAUCCCUGGAAUGUCCCCGGAUUUCAUCUCAUGUCCCCGGGAAACGCAGCAGUGGAAGUCUCAGCAGCCCGGAGCAGUUGGCUCUGGCUGGCUUCAGGAGCUACUCGGAAGUCAAACAAACUCCUCACCCGCCAGAGAGACGCCAACUUGGACAACCCACUGCCCCUUAUCUGUGUGGGCAUGGCUCCGAAUCGGCCCUGUUUGGUGCAGAAGCACCGACCAAAGUUUCCUCCAAUUAAGAGUACAUCUCAGCUUUUUUCUGAGCAAGAGGGGACUUUGGCUGCUGCUUCUGAGCUAGGCCGGCUGGGACAGAGCCGAGACGCCCAUACGGAGGUCAAGUGGGUAAAGCUGCUAAGUUGAGGUAGGAGGAAAUGCUUCCUUCCCAGGUCCCCCACCCUCCUGCCCCAGACUGGUGCUAGCUGAUAUCACUCUUUGCUUUGUGGCGAGAGAAAGACGCAGCCCAGACGGAGGACACCUGCCUCAGAGGUAAUGGGAAAGGGGGAAGGAGCGGGGGGCGUAGGAAACACACGAGAAGGGCCUGCAGGAUCAGAUCAAGGGCCCAUCUGGUCCAGCCUCCUCUUCUCCCAGAAGCCACAAAGAUGCCUGUGGGAAAGCCGCAAGCAGGAUUCGGGCCCAAGAGCCCUCUGCCCACCUGGGACUUCCUGCAACGGCUUUUCUGAAGCACUGUUUCCUCCAUCAGGACCGCCCUCUCCAUUCAGUCGUCUAAUCCUCUUUUAAAGCCAUGCAGUGAGAGAUACUCUUCUGCUGCAUCUCCUGGUCAUCUGAUUGUUCCUGCCAAAAGCUCUUGUGAGCUCAGCAGCAGGGUCUGCUUUAAGUCCAUGGGGUGGGUGUGACAGCUGAAUGGUCUGUCCCUGGUGUGUGAGUGGCAGCCCAUUCACAUGUUCAGGGAUAGCCUCGAGUUCUCCCCUGCUUCAAAGAUACCUUCUUUCUUCCAAGAUCUCCUGUCUGCACUGCUGUGGCUGCUGCCGAAGCCUCCCAUUUAAAAAGAACAGCUUGAGGAAUCCCCAGCGAUGCGGUCAAGGAGCUCCCCGCCAGCUGGUGGAUGGGAAAGAUGGUGGAAAGUGGAAGGAUGAAUACUCAGCUGAAGCACAGUAUUCCAGUUUCUGAUUUUUUAGCUGCUGGAGCAUUUGAAAGCUGUGAUGUGAUAAAUAGAGGCUUUACAAAUGUGAAGAGCGAACUUUUCCCUGUUCAUCCUUUGAAAAUAUCAGAGAAUUUUUUUGGUUAAAUUGAGAUAAGAUGAACUUUACUACUCUAAGAAAUAUUCAAGGGCUGCAUCCACCGCUGAGGCUGCAAACGGAAUUCCAAGCAGUGAAGCAGGUCCAGCGUCUUCCUAUCCUUAAUAGUUCUAAUUUGUCACUGGGUAUCUGGAAAGGCAACUAUGACUGCAUUGGUUUUGGCUUUUGAGGAUAUUCUGUAGAGCUGGAAGGGACCACAAGGAUCAUCUAGUCCAACCCCCUGCAAUCCAGGGUGCUGGAGUGGAGGUCCAGCGAAUUCCGGCUGAAGCAAAGCACUGCUGCUCCCUGUAAUCAUCCUGUUAGAAGAAGCACUUCAACUCCCCGUUCCUGGGAAAUGGGCGGGAGCAAGCUGCAGGUUCUUCAUCCCUAUUCUAAAAAAACAAAUGUCUCCCCCCCAGUGAUCCUGGGAACUGUAGUUUUUUAGGGGCUCUGGGAAUAGCUCCCAUUAGCAGAGAUCUGUGGAGUCCUAGGAACUCAGUCAUGAGCAGGAACUAGCAAGGUAGGAGGAGCUCAGGUGCCUGGUUCUGGAGUUGGGGAGGGACCCCGUGCCUUGGAAAUGGAAAACCGUUGGGUGUUGAGGGUCCCAGGAUUGUGCCUUGCCUUCAGGGGGGAUGCCUGGGCAGCAGCGGAGCAAUCCGCAUGCCCUGAGCCCAGGGGUCCCUCCCCAAGCCAGGGCAGUACGCUUUGUGGGGCCUCUGAGGAGUCUGCCUGCCUCCUCCCACUCAGCCACGCUACAGCUGAGGGGGAGGCAGCGGGUGGACCAUUUGGGCACCGCGGAGCCUGCAUGCAGCUAAGCCACCACUCUCCCAGGAGAGUGAGUGCCACCCGGCAUUCUGUCACCCCCCUCAGUAGUGACACCCGGGUGGCCCGCCCCCACCGCACCAUCCUUCCUCCGCCCCUGCUUGGGCCCAGUUCUCCUAUCUGUUAAGGUCAUCUUGAAUCCUGAUUAUUUGUUCUGCGGCAUUAGCUACCCCUCCCAGUUCGGUGUCCUCUGCAAAGUUGAUGAGCAUCCCCUCAAUUCCUUCAUCCAAGUCGUUUAUAAAGACAUUGAAGAACAACGGGCCCAGGACAGAACCCUGUGGCACUUGUCACUAUUUUUCCAGGAUGACGAGGAACCAUUAAUGAAUACUCUUUGGGUUCGGUCACCCAACUAGCUACAAAUCCACCUGACAGAUACCUCGUUCAACCCACAUUUUACCAGCUUCUCUGCAAGAAUAUCAUAGGGGACUUUGUCAAAAGUCUUACUGAAAUCAAGAUACACUAUGUCCUCAGCAUUCUCCUCAUCCACCGUAUGGAAUUGUGCAGCAAAUGAGCAUGAUUUGGGGAGGUGGAGAAUCCCAUCUUAAAAUGGUAGAACUGUCUGGCCUCAAACCCCAAUAGAACCUCUCCUUUAAUACGGGGACAGAAGAAAGCUAUCCUUAGGCAAUGUUGGCUUAGCAAGCCGUUUUACUGGGUGCUCUACUUGGCACAACAACCUAUUAC
rnacentral:lncRNA from 1 species